rnacentral:rRNA from 1 species
UACGUAGGUGGCAAGCGUUAUCCGGAAUUAUUGGGCGUAAAGCGCGCGCAGGCGGUUUCUUAAGUCUGAUGUGAAAGCCCACGGCUCAACCGUGGAGGGUCAUUGGAAACUGGGGAACUUGAGUGCAGAAGAGAAAAGCGGAAUUCCACGUGUAGCGGUGAAAUGCGUAGAGAUGUGGAGGAACACCAGUGGCGAAGGCGGCUCACUGGUCCGGUACUGACGCUGAGGUGCGAAAGCGUGGGGAGCAAACAGGG